rnacentral:lncRNA from 1 species
CUCUAUAAAUGAAAGACGGUACCGCCAGUUCUGGGAAUCGCACAGGGGUGCGUACAAAUGGACCAGGACGCGGAGAGCACGGAAACAACGGUGCUGGGACCUUGUGCACAGAAUCCAGAUGCCAGAUGGGAAUUAAACAUUCGGCCGAGAAAAGCAAUCUAGUUCCCUGGGCUCGACUUUGACUCACUCCUUGGUCUGCACCAAUCCUCACAUCCCUCAGGUCCUCUAACUUUUACGACAGUAUCCAGAAAUCGAUUCUUUGGUCUCUACGGCUCCAGAAGGCUCGCUCAUCAAGAAACGUUCCAUUACCUUCGAUUAGAAGUGGAUACAUAUAUGAUUUUGGCCUAAAAAAAAAUUUGCAAAAAGGGAGAAUGCAAACUUGUCCUUUUCCUUUUGGAUUUACGGAGUGCCAGUAUCAGCAGAGUCUAUUGAGGAGGAAUCUCUGAAAAUGACAGCUGAUGGGUGUAGAGACCCACGCCCGGAAUCUCAGCAACUGAAGUGGUUGAAGCAGGAGCAUCUGGGCAGAGCUUGAACCAGGAAGCUGAGCGGCACCAUAGGUGUUGCUAACCAAGCAUAGCAGCAUAAUAAAAAUGGAGUGAUUAAAUGUAUUAAGUUUGAAGUAUA